GCUGCUGUGCCGCAGAAGAAAGGUGUCAA
rnacentral:piRNA from 1 species